rnacentral:rRNA from 1 species
AUGAUGAACUCUGAUGUAAUCGGCUAUAGGAUAGACUGGCUAAAGAAGUUCUUUUUCCCUCUGGAUUUCAUGCACUGCUGGUCGAUGUACCUUAUGGAUAAGGACACAAAGGUUAUGAUGGUGCUAGACCUGACCGAGACAGAUGAACUAGACGAGAUGAAGAUAAAGCAUGAAGCACUAGCUAAGAAAUUCCAGAAGAGGUUUUGUUCUUUGUUAAACAACUACUUCGGUAACGGGUUGGUGGAUGCCGAUGGAUGGAAAUUUGUGUAUCCAUUGGUGGCACAUCAUGAACCAUGCAGCAGACAGUGGGAUCUACAUCUUUCACUACUUCAAGAAUUUCACCGGGCUAUACCUUCGUUCAACACCGACGCAGGAACAGAUUGA